AUUGAACGCUGGCGGCAGGCCUAACACAUGCAAGUCGAGCGGUAGAGAGGUGCUUGCAUCUCUUGAGAGCGGCGGACGGGUGAGUAAUGCCUAGGAAUCUGCCUAGUGGUGGGGGAUAACGUUCGGAAACGGACGCUAAUACCGCAUACGUCCUACGGGAGAAAGCGGGGGAUCUUCGGACCUCGCGCCAUUAGAUGAGCCUAGGUCGGAUUAGCUAGUUGGUGAGGUAAUGGCUCACCAAGGCGACGAUCCGUAACUGGUCUGAGAGGAUGAUCAGUCACACUGGAACUGAGACACGGUCCAGACUCCUACGGGAGGCAGCAGUGGGGAAUAUUGGACAAAUGGGCGAAAGCCUGAUCCAGCCAUGCCGCGUGUGUGAAG
rnacentral:rRNA from 1 species